GACGAACGCUGGCGGCGUGCUUAACACAUGCAAGUCGAACGAAGUGGCGCACGGGUGAGUAAUAUAUAUUAAUCUGCCCUACACAGAGGAACAACAGUUGGAAACGACUGCUAAUACCUCAUAGUGUAGGAUGAGACUAUAUCGUAUCAGCUAGUUGGUAAGGUAAUGGCUUACCAAGGCUAUGACGCGUAACUGGUCUGAGAGGAUGAUCAGUCACAUGGGAACUGAGACACGGUCCAAACUCCUACGGGAGGCAGCAGUAAGGAAUAUUGCGCAAUGGGGGAAACCCUGAUCCAGCCAUGCCGCGUGUGUGAAGAAGGUCUUCGGAUUGUAAAGCACUUUAAGUUGGGAGGCGUUACCAACAGAAUAAGCACCGGCUAACUUCGUGCCAGCAGCCGCGGUAAUAC
rnacentral:rRNA from 1 species